GACGAACGCUGGCGGCGUGCUUAACACAUGCAAGUCGAACGGAAAGGCCCUGCUUUUGUGGGGUGCUCGAGUGGUGAACGGGUGAGUAACACGUGAGUAACCUGCCCUUGACUUUGGGAUAACUUCAGGAAACUGGGGCUAAUACCGGAUAGGAGCUCCUGCUGCAUGGUGGGGGUUGGAAAGUUUCGGCGGUUGGGGAUGGACUCGCGGCUUAUCAGCUUGUUGGUGGGGUAGUGGCUUACCAAGGCUUUGACGGGUAGCCGGCCUGAGAGGGUGACCGGCCACAUUGGGACUGAGAUACGGACCAGACUCCUACGGGAGGCAGAAGUGGGGAAUAUUGCACAAUGGGCGGAAGCCUGAUGCAGCAACGCCGCGUGCGGGAUGACGGCCUUCGGGUUGUAAACCGCUUUCGCCUGUGACGAAGCGUGAGUGACGGUAAUGGGUAAAGAAGCACCGGCUAACUACGUG
rnacentral:rRNA from 1 species